rnacentral:rRNA from 1 species
AAUUAACGCUGGCAGAGUGCAUAACACAUGCAAGUCGAGCGCGACUACCUGAGAUUACAUCAACUGGUAGUUGAGCGGCAGACGAGUGAGUAACACGUAAACAAUCUACCCUCGAAUGGUGAAUAACUAGCCGAAAGGCUAGCUAAUGCGCCGUACUCUCCUUAAUAGGCAUCUAUUGAGGAGGAUAGGCCCGCAAGGGUCGUUGGAGGAGGAGUUUGCGUCCCAUCAGCUAGUUGGCGGUGUAACGGACCACCAA